GACGAACGCUGGCGGCGUGCUUAACACAUGCAAGUCGAACGCUGAAGACCUGGCUUUUGUUGGGUUGGAUGAGUGGCGAACGGGUGAGUAACACGUGAGUAACCUGCCCUCUUCUUUGGGAUAACGCCCGGAAACGGGUGCUAAUACUGGAUAUUCACUGAUCUUCGCAUGGGGGUUGGUGGAAAGGUUUGUUCUGGUGGGGGAUGGGCUCGCGGCCUAUCAGCUUGUUGGUGGGGUGAUGGCCUACCAAGGCUUUGACGGGUAGCCGGCCUGAGAGGGUGACCGGUCACAUUGGGACUGAGCUACGGCCCAGACUCCUGCGGGAGGCAGCAGUGGGGAAUAUUGCACAAUGGGCGAACGCCUGAUGCAGCGACGCCGCGUGAGGGAUGGAGGCCUUCGGGUUGUAAACCUCUUUCGCUCAUGGUCAAGCCGCAACUGUGGGUUGUGGUGAGGGUAGUGGGUAAAGAAGCGCCGGCUAACUACGUG
rnacentral:rRNA from 1 species